GGGCGGGCUCCGAGCCCAGCUCCACUGGCCCCGGCCGCGGGGCUCGCCCCUCCGUCCCCAAACGACCGUCUCCGCUGCCAUGAGAUGCCGACAGCCUGUGCGCUGGCCGCCACCCCCUGCUCCAUCAGGUGCUGGAAUCUGAGUAAAAGCCUGGGCGCGAGCUCCCAGCCCCGGGGCCUGCCACCGGCUCCACGAAGCGGGCAGCUCCAGCGGCCGCCGGGAGAAGGAAGGGCGACCGGGGGAGACGGGUCGCAGGGACAGCACGUGGCGGAAAGUUAGCCCCGGACUAGCACGCCCCACCCGGAGAAGCCGGCCUGGAAGGGGCUGCGGACCACCAGGCGGAGCGGUGGGCGACCGAAGUGCGGCUGGGCUGGCCUCCUCGUCUCCGCACUGGAAGAAUUGCCCUUCCGCAAGUCUUCCCUUCCCACAUGGGGGCCCUCCAGGCCGCACCUCGGUCGCCCACCGCUUCCCUUGAGAAGGGAGACUAAAGACAGGCAUCUGGAAGCUGUCACUGUGGCGCGCGGGCAGACAGGGGAUCCCAUUGGAGAGGAAGAGCCGUAGUAGUCGCUGCUGCCUUCGGCCGACCCAACGGCCGCCUGCUUGGGAGGAAGAAAAAGAACGCCCCCGCUGAAGAAUUAAGGCAGCCAUUGGUUGCUCUAGGGGGUUACAAGAUGGGCAGUACAAUAGAGGAUGGACUGGAGUUGGAAAAGACUAAAGCAGCAAGUUUGAUAAGGAGGCUACAGCAAUAGUCCAGGUGAAAGACGCAAGAGCCCAAAAUGCAGCAGUGGCCAAGGGAAUGGAUCUGAGAUAAAGUUCAGAAGAUAGAGUUGGCAGGGCAGGAGAAGAGAAGAAGGCCACAUGAAGAUGGAGCAAGAGAUUGGAGUGAUGUGGCCACAAGCCAAGGAAGCUGAGGAAUGAAGACAGCUAUCAGAAGCUGGAAGAGGAAAAGAAUUCUCUCUUGGGGUCUGCAGAGGGAGAACAGCCCUGCCAACACUUCCAUUUCCAAUGUCUGGACUCUAGAACUGUGAGAAAAUAAAUUCCCAUUAUUUUAAGGAA
rnacentral:lncRNA from 1 species